rnacentral:rRNA from 1 species
AUUGAACGCUGGCGGCAGGCCUAACACAUGCAAGUCGAACGAGUGGCGGACGGGUGAGUAAUGUCUGGGGAUCUGCCCGAUAGAGGGGGAUAACUACUGGAAACGGGCGCUAAUACCGCAUACUAUCAGAUGAACCGAGGUGGGAUUAGCUAGUAGGUGGGGUAAUGGCGCACCAAGGCGACGAUCCCUAGCUGGUCUGAGAGGAUGAUCAGCAACACUGGAACUGAGACACGGUCCAGACUCCUACGGGAGGCAGCAGUGGGGAAUAUUGGACAAUGGGCGAAAGCCUGAUGCAGCCAUGCCGCGGGUGUGAAGAAGGCCUUAGGAUUGUAAAGUACUUUCAGUCGGGAGGCGUUACCGACAGAAUAAGCACCGGCUAACUCCGUGCCAGCAGCCGCGGUAAUUC